rnacentral:rRNA from 1 species
CGGGCAACUGGGGAUAAUACCCUAUAUACUAUGGAUGCUGGAAUGCUUCGUCGUUGAAAGGUCCGCCGCUGUAGGAUGGGUCUGCGGCCGAUUAGGUUGUUGUUGGGGUAACGGCCCAACCAGCCUGUAAUCGGUACGGGUUGUGGGAGCAAGAGCCCGGAGAUGGAUUCUGAGACACGAAUCCAGGCCCUACGGGGCGCAGCAGGCGCGAAAACUUUACAAUGCGGGAAACCGUGAUAAGGGAACUCUGAGUGCCCGUAAAAUCGGGCUGUCCAUCAGUUUAAAUAACUGGGGAAGAAAGGGCCGGGCAAGACCGGUGCCAGCCGCCGCGGUAACC